CCUUGAUUUUCUUUUAGUUGACCAAUGAGGUGUUUGUGCUCCAGUCAUUACCUGUUGCCACACUUGGACAGACACUUGAGAAGCUGAGAUACAGUUAUGUAAGAUCAGUGAAUAAGCCACUUGGAUUAAGAAAAUGACUCCAUUCAGUGGGCCCUUUCUUUGACAUAUUUAAUUCUGAUUACUUUGGUUUUUGGGGACCAUGGGUCCAAAAUGCACCCUGGACAUUGAGAAUUACCCUGUUUCUAAUAAUCCUAGCAGUCUCUGGCACACUUUAUUCUCUCAAAAGCUUUAUAUGCUUAUUCGCAGCUGCUGACUAUGAAGCAAAUGAUCUCCCUAAGAGGAGAAUGUCAGAAAAGCAACAAAGAACUUAAAGAAUGUGAAUUUGAUGCUGUGACCUCUGAAUGCCACACACAGAUUCAGCAAAAACUGCAAGAACUCUACCGGGAUAGCUGGAAGUAGCACUUAUCUCUUUGUUCUGUUUUUCUUUAUUUUUUUUUUAAAUCACACUCUCAAGCUGAGAGUGUGAUCAAAAGAGGGGAUUCUUAAGAAUGACACAACAAUCCCCAAAUGAGGUCACUUACACUAAGCCCCAUGUGACCAAACUGACAUUUAACAUAAUUAUCAUUUUGGCACUUCCAGAAAUGGAAUCUUAUACCAGGUCAAACAGGAAUCAUCUGAUCAGCACUAGGGUCCGUGAUCAAAGGAACAAGACCGAUGCAAAGGGAAAGUCAAGCAAAGCUUUAUUUCGCUCCAAGCAUUGAAAAUCAAACCGACUGGUCGGGGCCGUCUUUUAUGAAGAGGCUAUGUCCACCAGGACACCAACCCCACCAAUUCCCCUUACCCGGACUCCCCUACCCGGCAACUAUGCUCCAGGUGGCACUACUCCCCAACGAGGCUGAUUCCCCACGAUGAUGCUCCCCGCAGGGCCACUUCCCCAGAGGAGGCCGCUCAGGCGAGGCCCAUGAUGCUCCCAAUGACCACGAGGGCUAUUACUCCGGACUACUAUU
rnacentral:lncRNA from 1 species